AAAAAUUCAUAACAUGUUUACUUAUACAAUAAUUAGAAAAUAUUGAUUUUUACACUUUGAUUGGAGUCCCUUUGAAUUAUUAAAUUAAAUCAAUAAAAUGUAAAAUGAUGUUUUAGUUUUGUUUGAUUUACUAUUGAUAGGAAAUUUCUUUUAUUUUCUUAUUCUUAAAAAAAUAAAGUUAAAAGAAAGAAAAAAAAAGACCAAAAUAAAAUGGAAGGUCAAUUGAUAGUACAAAAAAUGAGGAUUUUGAAUUAUUGCAUGAUGUGAUAAAAAACCAAACAUGUCCUUACUUUUCACAAAGAAAAUUUUUGUAUGAAUCUAAUUUAUUAUGAACUCAUGUGUAGUAAAAUUUGUAUAAAAAAAUAUAUAAAUUUUAUAUAUUUAUAUUUUAAAUUU
rnacentral:misc_RNA from 1 species